GGAGAUGCGGGUGGCAAUGAAGGAGAUCGUUCUGGAAGUCAACCUCUUCGCCGGAACUCGAAGCGUCCUGCUAAUCGCCAGCCACGACUUGCGCAGAGUGUUGAGCAGGGAGAGGAUGUUGAGGAUGCUGAUCAGUUCCGUGUUGUAAAGCGGACUAGACGUGCAGCACUUGGCAAG